GGUCUUUUAAUUUUUUCAAAAAAUUAGUAUAGCCGCCCGGCUAUACUUGGUUUCAUUAAUGUUUCAUAAAAAUAGUAUAGACGCGCGGCGAUACUUAUUUUGGUACGUAUCACUGGGAGCGUCCUCUUUUGUUUGUUUUUAAUAAAAAUAAAUAGUAUAGCUAUUCGGCUAUACUCGAUUUUUUAAAAUUUGUUCAAAAAAAUAGUAUAGCCGAUCGGCUUGAUUGGGUUUUUUUGUUUUUAUUUUUU
rnacentral:lncRNA from 1 species